rnacentral:rRNA from 1 species
GAUGAACGCUGGCGGCGUGCCUAAUACGUGCAAGUCGAGCGAACGGACGAGAAGCUUGCUUCUCUGAUGUUAGCGGCGGACGGGUGAGUAACACGUGGAUAACCUACCUAUAAGACUGGGAUAACUUCGGGAAACCGGAGCUAAUACCGGAUAAUAUUUUGAACCGCAUGGUUCAAAAGUGAAAGACGGUCUUGCUGUCACUUAUAGAUGGAUCCGCGCUGCAUUAGCUAGUUGGUAAGGUAACGGCUUACCAAGGCAACGAUGCAUAGCCGACCUGAGAGGGUGAUCGGCCACACUGGAACUGAGACACGGUCCAGACUCCUACGGGAGGCAGCAGUAGGGAAUCUUCCGCAAUGGGCGGAAGCCUGACGGAGCAACGCCGCGUGAGUGAUGAAGGUCUUCGGAUCGUAAAACUCUGUUAUUAGGGAAGAACAUAUGUGUAAGUAACUGUGCACAUCUUGACGGUACCUAAUCAGAAAGCCACGGCUAACUACGUG